GGGUGGGGGGUGGGGGGGGGGGGGGGAACUCUACACGCACACAUACGCGCCUACACGCGCACGCGCGCGCACGUUGACACUCGCUGCACGGCCUCGCAUGCGCACGCACGUUCACUGACACGCCGUCGUUGCGCGCGCCGAUGUGCGGAUCUCGUGCACGCUCGCGCAGUCCCGUACGCUCGCACCGCACCGCACGCACACGCUCGAAUGUACUGACGCGCGUGCGUGUGCACGCACCCGCACGUGUACGCUCACGCAAGCGCUCAAAUCUCAUUCGUGACCCAUUCGGUGCCCAAUGCUGUAAAAGCGCAAUAACGCAGAGACGGCGUCACUCUGGCCAGGUUGGAAGUAAAGACACCGCCGGAAGCAGCGUCUGCCACGGUGCAGUUAUCGGAGCGAAGUAAUAUUCUGCUAAUUUUGCGGUCAGAGCAGACCCACGUAGUUUUUGUUACACACGACGUUUUUAAAAAUGUAACUUUAACCGCUGCCACCUGUCCGUCUUUUUGCCGCGGGUUAUUUGUUAUUUUUACGUCUUUCGUCCUGCUCUUUGCUUUGGGCUGUAUCUAAAGAAGGGGAGGUGGGGGAAGGGAUCACCCGCUUGUGGAAGAUUGCACGGGGACUACGGUAGAUUCGGUGUGACGUGGUGUGACGCAGCGCACACGCGUGCACACACACACACACAGACACUGGCGGUAGUGUAAACCCUCUCCUUCACCUGCUGUGAAAACACCUUUUAACGUUUUCCAUCGCAACGUAAUGAUCCGGACGCGGCGGGGGGGGGUGGCGGGUUAAUUUAGACGGAUUUGUUUUGCUUGUGGAGCAUCCAGCUAAUGUGGUGUUUGAAUUAAUUAAAAUCUACAAAGGUUAAAGGAGCAACCCCCCUGCAAGAGGUUCCACCAGAGGGAGCUCUAGAAAGAGUAUCCAGAGAAUAAUUGGGCCUACUGUUGCAUGCUGGUCAUACACGUAUGUUGAGAUUCUUUCGCGCCAUACGUAGCCAACCGUGCUAACGGGAGGUGCUGGGGAAGCCCGGUGAUGAGUGGGCACAAGGAUUAAUUUGCCUUGGCGGGGGGGGCGGGGGGGAGUGGAGGCAUUGGUUAAGAGUGGAGAGCGCAGGAACGAUGACCCGUCUGAGAAUUGAGACCGAGUUGGGGCGAAACCUUGUGAGAGCGUUUCGGCUCCGGUAUCUCGUCUAGCGACACGAGCCGCGUUUUCUUUGCACGUUCGGCCUGUCGCCUGCCAAGCCCCGUGCCCCCCCCCCCCCCCGCGUUACAGCUUGGGUCGCCACCCGCCACGGUUGCCCCGGCGCCGCCGUCCCUCUCGUUGACGAGGUAGCCCCCGUCCUCGGGGAAUCUUCCGCCGGGACGUUUUGUCAGUUUGCCAAAUAAAUGCACCGCGCAGGACGGCGAUGCAUUCGCCGCAUAGUCUCGCCCCCUCACCGCGUCCGCUGUCGCGACGCCGCCUUGUCCCCCCGUUGGCACGUCCCCGGUGCUCUGUACGCCGGAGGUGUGCGACCCUAACCACGGCGCUAACUCGUGGCAUUCCACCGGAGGUGUCGGGCGAUUUAUUUCAAGAGGGGGCCCCAUCUAGAAACCUCGUCACCGCCGCCUGUCCAUCCCCCUCCACCGGAGUCACACGGGGGACGGUGCGUCCCCAAUUCUCUCGCCCGUCCCCUUGAACGUGCAGCGUCCCUCGCGAAACCGCGGCCUCCCGCGUUCGUCGGAGGCCACGUUCAGUGCCACGACGGACAGGCCGACGUUAGGAGCCUCUGAAUUAAACCUCCAAAUGGAAGCCGCGUAUUUAGAGGUCUGCCGCGUUAGGCUCGUGAGGGCUCCACAAGCCUAACGCGAUCCACGACUACCGAUUUUCGGGGCGAUCCUUUGCCGGCCAGCGCGUUAAACCGCGAGCGACUUUGCCUAAUUGCUGGCCGACGGGAUGCAGUGACGGUCAUCCCAUUAUGCAGCGCAUCAUUGCCGGUCACUCGGUUUAUGCCGGUGUAUUGCAAUGUAAGCCUUGCUUAAUGGAGACGCUCUAAAUCAGGAGGGCGGCUUCCCCUUUCAUCCGUCAACAUCCCACUCGCGCACCGGACUCGAAGCGACGUGACGUCGUGCAGUCACGUCCUGCCGCCUCCGACGUGUGCCGUCUCUCGUUCGAUUGGAAGCUGCCGUCUCAGUUUACCACGGCGGGGGAGGGAGGCGGCGAUUUCGAUUUGUUCAGAUUUUGGGGCGGCAAUAUUUUUGUUCCAACGGGAAGCCGCCUGGCUGCGAUCGCUGGGGACGAUUGCUGUAACCGUUGCACCCGCGGAAUCGAGCGUGGCCUUGAUGCCAGCCCCGGGCUCGGGAGUCGGUCCGAACCAUUUCUGUUGGCGCUAGCGCAGCGUUGGGUUCGUAGCACGGCAGCAGUCCAACUCGCUUGAAUCGUUUUUUUUGUCGCAAGGAUCGCCAACGACAUUUUUUUUCUUCUAAAGGCCGUUCCGUUUGGCCGUGAGAACAAAUGCAUGAGUGGUGAUGCAUGUGCGGUGGUGGUGGUGGUGGUUGUGGAGGUGGCCGUGGUCGUGGAGGUGGUUGUGGCAGAUGUCGUGGUUUUCGCGAUCGUUUUUAAUCGCCUCUGUCUGGGAGGGGUAGCGCGUUUUUGUGCAACGGUGAGCGUCGGUUUCUGAGACAGAUCCAAAACUCCAGGUUUCGUGAGCCCCCCCCCCCUGCUCACCCCCCCUCCCUCCCACCUAAUGUUGUAAUGAAUGUCUUUGAAAUUUUUCCGGGGUGCUAUCUAGGAACACAUUCUAAAAGUAACUCGAAUUGUGAUUUUUCUUAUUUUACCAGGUUAAGUCCACUGCUUUACCUGGUCCACUCGUAAUUACUCCUCACAGAAGUGGCCGGUAUCAUCGUCAUCGCACGUGGGAAGUUAUAUAGUAGCGGCCAAAUAAUCUAAACGCACGUUGAUUCUAAAUGUUGAGGGGUGGGGUGGGGGCCAAAACUGGCGGGACCUGGAGGAGAAAAUCCACACUACGACCACCGUGGGGGGGGGUGGGGGGGGGAGAGAGAACACGCGGAUUCCAACUAUACAACAAGAGGCAUCGCCAGGGUCCACGAUGGAACCCACGACCUUGCGCACCGGGCGAGGGAGAUGUGCGACAGGUGUGCUGGGUGCUGCGGUGUGCCAGGUGCCAAGAUAUUGUCGUACCCAGCAGAAAUUAAGCCAUUGGGUCACAACUGCACUUUUUAUUUCCUAUCUAGAAAUAACCUUCGGUAAAAAUAAUUAUAACCGUUAUUUGUUUCCAGCCUGCGCCCCCCACCCCCCCCCCCCCCCCCACAUAUUUCUGUCCGAUGAGUUCCUCGUAAUUUUAAAGGAAGUGGCCGAGUUGGUUUGAGCGGGCGAGCACCUUUGCCUGCGCGCACGAACGGCGUGGCGACUGGCGCUUUCACGUCAGCUGGCUCUGCCUCGGGUGACGAUCUGGCACUCCAACACGCGUCCAGCAUUGCCGCUCGCCGUGGCCACGAGCCCAACGUACCGCCGACUCCCAAUACGUCGGCGGCUCGGAAAACAUUUCUGCAAGCAAGCCGGCACACCAAAUUCAGCGUACAACCUCUCGCUGCAGUCUGCGGCGGCUAACUAGUCACGAGGCCACCCACCCGAACGAGUCUUCCGGAGACGCGGAAAAAAUAAAACCGCCCGUAAAAUAUUGCCUGCGGGGCCGGCACACCGCCUCGAGUAUUCCUCUCCCUUUGGCUACGACCGGUCACGGGCCACCUGCUCGAGUCGAGGGGGUUUGACGACUCGCUGCCAGCGACGCGAUUUGUCCGCGUGCGUGAGGAGGCACGGGGCUGUUGGUGGUGCCGGGGUGCGCGCGUAGUCGCGUGCCUCCCGUGUCGCCGUUCCCUCGCGACGACCACGGUUAAGGAGUCGGGACUACGGUCCCGACUCCUUAAUCGUUGCUGCCAUUUGGACGAGUCGAGAGUUAUUUCUGUGGGCACGCGUGUUCCCGUGCACGUGUCUGUGUGUGCGUGUCUGUGUGCGCGUGUCUGUGUGCGCGUGUCUGUGUGCGCCUGUCUGUGUGCGCGUGUCUGUGUGCGCGUACCGUCGUCGUAUGUGCUAACAGUUGCCAUUGUUAAAGACAAUUCGUCGCCAAUUAUUUUUGUUAAAUUUUUUUUUUAAUAUGGGUUUGCAAUAUAAUAGAGCACUGUAAUCACGUUUGUCCCGUAUCUCUUUGUGGAACUUUAAUAGGCGCCGGUUAUUAACUUGUAUCCCCAGGGGCCAUUUGAGCGUUGUAUGUUAAACGCCGCGUGGAAAACAUUCGGCGCUGCGACGAUGGCGAUGCUUAGUUUAUAUAUAUACGGGGUUCGAAUUAGAUUGAGUCGUAGCAGCUUGCACCAAGAGAACAAUCGAACCUUUGCAUGUUUUUAUUUUAUUUUAGCCAUUUCAUUUCGAGAGCCUACGUGUGACCUUAAUAAUGUGACACGGUCCAAGUUCGAAUGUUCAGGAGCGUCCCACUACUCUAGCUCUCCCGAUGCGUUUGUCCGGUCGUGCCGAGCACGAGUUCGACGCGAGGCCCGACGUUUCGGCCCGCGUGCCAGGAUCUCCUUCGGUGGCGCGUGGAGCGAAAGGUCAGGCAUUGUGCCGAACGACGCGCGGGCUAACCACGAAAACACGUCGGAGCCGCACAGCACAACCAGGAAAACCUACGCAGUACUAUUUUACUCUAUGUUGAUUGAAAUAUUGAUUGUAUAUAAUACUAACGUUUGGCAACAAGCAUUGCCUCCAUUGGCGGUGACGUGUUGAGCAAUCGAGUGCUUGAAACUCCCUUUGGGUCACCAAAUUCACAAUUCUACAUCAAGAGUUCAACCGAUCAAUUUAGUUAAGACUCAGGCCAGAGCCUUUCUAUACCUCUUUUUUUUCCACCGCACAACUGAGCCGUGCCGAGCCAGCCCUGUGCCACCGGGGAAAGCUCCCAAAGAGUUCCCCCCCCCCCCGCCUCCACCCCACUACAGAAGCCGAACCGUGCCGCUGACGGUCGUGCUUGACGCUUGACGUUGCGAUACCCCCGUGACCACCCUGUGUUUUUGGUUCAGCACAGCAGAUAGCCAGGUGGGGAAAAAAACACCCGUACCACGAGGGCCUCGCGCUGGCUCGGCUCGGAUGUGCCGGUGGAAAACAAGAGGUAUUUCAUAGACUAUAGCUGGGUGUUCAUACAAGUCAAUGGGGCCGUUAGUUGUUUUUUGUAACGUUAUUUCAGAAUUUCAAAAUUGUUUUGACUUGUGGCGUGAUUGUACUGGCGGCAAGCAAGGAACGGCCCUUGCACCCGAGCGUACGGGAACCGCUGCAAAACUGUAGGAGGUUGACGGAGGGACCCAUUGUUGAAUCGCAUUUCUCUAGAAUCGUGCCAGGUGUGUUAACCAAGGUGUCGGGCCAAUUCUCGGUGCCUGAAGCAUCCGCUGCGCACCGCUCGUUAGCAGCGAAGUCGCAAGCUCACGAACAAUCGGCAAGCGAGAAACCAGACGACGCAUUUGAGAUUUACAUUUUUCAAAAGAGCUCAAUUACACACGCGCAGUUAUUGGUAAACUACUGUUUUAACGUGUCAGAUUUGCCGGUUUUCAGGUGUUGUUAACAAAAAUGUAAUGUGGCUGCAAGGAAAAUAUUUCUCUUUUUUUUUACAGUAUAUUAAAAUGGUUUUGAUUUACGUACA